rnacentral:rRNA from 1 species
GAUGAACGCUGGCGGCGUGCCUAAUACAUGCAAGUCGAGCGAACAGACGAGGAGCUUGCUCCUCUGACGUUAGCGGCGGACGGGUGAGUAACACGUGGAUAACCUACCUAUAAGACUGGGAUAACUUCGGGAAACCGGAGCUAAUACCGGAUAAUAUAUUGAACCGCAUGGUUCAAUAGUGAAAGACGGUUUUGCUGUCACUUAUAGCUGGAUCCGCGCCGCAUUAGCUAGUUGGUAAGGUAACGGCUUACCAAGGCAACGAUGCGUAGCCGACCUGAGAGGGUGAUCGGCCACACUGGAACUGAGACACGGUCCAGACUCCUGCGGGAGGCAGCAGUAGGGAAUCUUCCGCAAUGGGCGAAAGCCUGACGGAGCAACGCCGCGUGAGUGAUGAAGGUCUUCGGAUCGUAAAACUCUGUUAUUAGGGAAGAACAAAUGUGUAAGUAACUAUGCACGUCUUGACGGUACCUAAUCAGAAAGCCACGGCUAACUACGUG